UUCCAAGCUUUCCCAAUUCUUCUGUAGUAGUCUUUCCCAUUGAUGAAGUUGUCCAGGUCAUCCACCAGCGCCUUCUUCAGCUCUGAAUCCAUGGCCAGAGUCUGGAAGGUCAUGGGGUGAUCGAUAUUGAUUGCAUCCGCCUGCCAGCUUCUGCUCAUCACUGUAUGAAGCUUCAGUGCUUUGUUCCCUUCCUUGAUAGCCUUUGAUCUUUCUAGAAUGUAUGGCAGGUAGGAGUUCAGCACCAGGCCCUUGUGCUCCUUGCUGAAACUCAGCUCAUAUGAUCUCUCUUCUGAUUGUAAGUCAAGAUUCCCAUUAGGGUUUUUGGCCUCUUUACAGACCAAUGUCCACUUCACUCGGAUGUUCUCAAAAACAUCAGUCAUCUCCUCGUUCCUGUCCAUGGUGACCUCCAUCUUCUUCUCCUUCCUGUCCUUUAGUACCUUAACUUUUCGAACUGAACCAGCCAUGUCUGCGCCCAAGUAGAUAUCAGCAGCUUCAAACAAUUUAUUUACAGCAACCCCAGCUUGGAAUUCUUCUAUGAUGAUGGUAAGUUGUGAUGAGGAGAAGCAUCCAUGGACUUCACUGGGCAUGAAGUUCUUGGUGAUUUUUCGAAUUAGAAUAGCCACGGCAGCUAGAGAGGCAGCUGCAGAUACAAGUUUUGCUGCUGUGUGCUUAUUUUGGAGGGUUAACAUCUUUGGUUAUGGAGGUGUUUUGGGGUGAUUGUGAGGUUUGUUCAAGUACUUUCCACCACCCUCUGCUUCUUCUUCUUCUGCAUCAUCUUGUCAAUGGAUACAUUUUGAUUUUAAUGGUGGGAGUUUUUGAAGUUUUUCAUGGACUAUUCUAAAGGGGAUUGUUCGUUUUCUUUGACUUCAAACCCUAAAUUUCAUUGAAUUAAUUAGGUUAUGUUGGGCCCAAGAGAAACGUACUGGCAGACCAGUUUUGUCAACAAUGGUGUGUUCCAAGGAAGUUCCUAUUUUACCUAAUGAGAAAGGCUUGGAGACAAGUCAUCUCUCCUUUUCUAAAGGAUAUACACAUUUCAUAAUCAAAUCAUAUGGAUGAAUUAAUUUAAGUUGAAUGAUCCCCUCAUUCAAUUCCAUUACUGUCAACAAUGACACUUUCAACAAGCAUCGUCUUUAUUAAUGCUUUUAAUGGUGCUUUCAAAACUGUCAUCCUCAAAUGAUGUUAACAAUGACACUUGUGGAAGCGUUAUCUUCGAACAAUUUUUACAAAAUUAAUAACAACGAUAUCAUACUUUGAGCAAUAAGUAGUGAAUUUUACUUCAAUUUAAUAUAUUUUUGCUUUUAAAUAAUAUAUCACACUCAAAAUAAUGGAAAGAAAAUAACUAAAAGAUUAUUAAAGAGGUCAUGACUUUUUUAUCUUCAUUGUCAAAUUGAAAACACGAACAAAACCUCCUAAAAGAUUAUAAUACAUUAAUAUCAUAUAUACACCCCAUCUUUUUCAAAAUAAAGAUGUCAUUUUUAUCUUAUCAUAAAUCACGAUUAGUUUCGAUACGCUAUAUUUUUUUCAACCUUUAACAUGUUUUACGCUUUGUCAUUUUAUAUUCAAAAUUUAAUAUUUUCUCUCAAAUUUGUUAAAGAAUAAUAUUUUGUUCAUAAUUACAAAACCUUCAUAAAAUUGUAAAAAUGAUUACUUUUUUUUCUACUCUGAUUUAAACAUUAUUUCUAACUUAAGUAAAACCAACUUUAAAUUGAUAACUUUGAAGUGAAAUUUCUCAAAUAUUUCCUAAAUAUGACAGACAUCAAUCUUGAUUUUUAUUUUAGAGAAACAUCUUCAUAAUUCUUUGUGAUUUUCGCAUUCAUCUACAAAGUGUGAUAACUUUAUAUUUAGAUUACAGGUGUGUUUUUUUACAUUUUUGUUUUAUUUUUUUUUAUUUAAUAAGCAAUUCAUUGAUUCUUUUUUAGCAAAUUUGGGAUGAAGUAUUGUCGACAAGUUUAUAAAUGAACAAGUUUAUAAAUGAAGUAUUGAGUUUUGAAAAGGAUAGAAUGUAAAACACGAUCAAAAGAUGAAAGGGAAUAAAGUAUAUUUAAUCCUAGAAACAGCUCUUCUUUUGGGGCUAAUGGAAGCAUGAGUCUAUGAUUCAAUCUUUUUGAAUACUUUCUUCAAUAUUGCAUUGUAGAAUUUUCACCCACAAACCAAUAUCAAGUGAUCAUGCCUCUCUGUUCCUACAAACAUAUUUACAUCAAUCCUCAAUCUGAUCUGUCUUCUGCUUCCAUUUCCUUCUGGGGUUUUGCUUCAUUUUUGCUGUGAAGAAAGCCGAGGAGGCCCUGAAGGGAGACAUCGGGAUCUUUACUCUUUAUCAGCUCACCGGCGACCUCUGCAGGAGUGACCUUCACCUCCCCCAUCAGGCCCUCAACUUGGUCAAAGAGAGGAUGCUGCCAGACCCCCAGGUAGUUCAAGGCAAGCUGCUUGAAUGCAGAAAUGGUGCAGUAUGACAUGUGAAUAUGCAUGUCCAUCCGGCCAGGCCUCAGCAGAGCUGGGUCAAGCUGGUCCCUGUGGUUCGUGCUGAAGACGAUGAUUCGUCCCUGAUCGCCGCAGCAUGACCAAAUCCCAUCGAUGAAGUUGAGCAAACCCGAGAGGGUCACCUGUCAAAAUACCAAGAAAGCAUAUAAGCCAUAGAACUUCCUAUAGUAUCAUACUAUCAAUCAAUCAUGUUAUCAUGAAAUAUGUUCUAACCUGAUUUUUAUGCGGCUGCCAUCGUUCUUCAGAGUCUCGGUUUUGUAACUUGAUCAUACAGUCAAUGUCCUCGAUGACCAGUAUCGAUUUACUAGACAUGGCAAGAAGGAGGGCCCUGAGAUCGGAGUUGGAAUUCACAUUUGUGAGGUCCAAGUCGUAGAUGUCGUAGUUGAGGUGAUUCGCCAUGGCUGCAAUCAAGCUGGAUUUUCCAGUCCCUGGAGGGCCAUACAGCAAGUACCCUCGCUUCCAAGCUUUCCCAAUUCUUCUGUAGUAGUCCUUUCCAUUGACGAAGUUGUCCAGGUCCUCCACCAGUUCCUUCUUCAGCUCUGAAUCCAUGGCCAGAGUCUGGAAGGUCAUGGGGUGAUCCAGAAGAAUCGAACCCAAAUCCCAGUUGGAAUAGUUCACUGUGUGGAGCUUCACCACCUUGUUUUCUUCUUUGAUGGCCCUGGCUCUCUCCAAAAUGUAUGG
rnacentral:lncRNA from 1 species